GACGAACGCUGGCGGCGUGCUUAACACAUGCAAGUCGAACGGUGAAGCGCCUUCCUUUUUGGUGGGUGUGGAUGAGCGGCGAACGGGUGAGUAACACGUGAGUAACCUGCCCCCUUCUUCUGGAUAACCGCAUGAAAGUGUGGCUAAUACGGGAUAUUCUGGGUCUGUCGCAUGAUGGGUCUGGGAAAGAUAUUGUUUCGGUGGGGGAUGGGCUCGCGGCCUAUCAGCUUGUUGGUGGGGUGAUGGCCUACCAAGGCGGUGAUGGGUAGCCGGCCUGAGAGGGUGGACGGUCACACUGGGACUGAGACACGGCCCAGACUCCUACGGGAGGCAGCAGUGGGGAAUAUUGCACAAUGGGCGCAAGCCUGAUGCAGCGACGCCGCGUGAGGGAUGGAGGCCUGCGGGUUGUGAACCUCUUUCGCCAGUGAAGCAGGCCUGCCUCGUUUGUGGGUGGGUUGACGGUAGCUGGAUAAGAAGCGCCGGCUAACUACGUG
rnacentral:rRNA from 1 species